AACGAACGCUGGCGGCAGGCUUAACACAUGCAAGUCGAACGCCCCGCAAGGGGAGUGGCAGACGGGUGAGUAACGCGUGGGAAGCUACCCAUCCCUACGGAACAACUGCGGGAAACUGGAGCGAAUACCGUGUACGCCAUUAGGGGGAAAGAUUUAUCGGGGAUGGAUGAGCCCGCGUUGGAUUAGCUAGUUGGUGGGGUAAAGGCCUACCAAGGCGACGAUCCAUAGCUGGGCUGAGAGGAUGAUCAGCCACAUUGGGACUGAGACACGGCCCAAACUCCUACGGGAGGCAGCAGUGGGGAAUAUUGGACAAUGGGCGCAAGCCUGAUCCAGCCAUGCCGCGUGAGUGAUGAAGGCCUUAGGGUUGUAAAGCUCUUUCACCGAUGAAGAUAAUGACGGUAGUCGGAGAAGAAGCCCCGGCUAACUUCGUGCCAGCCGCCGCCGUAA
rnacentral:rRNA from 1 species